AUUGAACGCUGGCGGCAGGCCUAACACAUGCAAGUCGAACGAGUGGCGGACGGGUGAGUAAUGUCUGGGAAACUGCCUGAUGGAGGGGGAUAACUACUGGAAACGGUAGCUAAUACCGCAUACCAUCGGAUGUGCCCAGAUGGGAUUAGCUAGUAGGUGGGGUAAAGGCGCACCUAGGCGACGAUCCCUAGCUGGUCUGAGAGGAUGACCAGCCACACUGGAACUGGGGCACGGUCCAGACUCCUACGGGGGGCAGCAGUGGGGAAUAUUGCACAAUGGGCGCAAGCCUGAUGCCGCCAUGCCGCGUGUAUGAAGAAGGCCUUCGGGGUGUAAAGUACUUGCAGCGGGGAGGCGUUACCCGCAGGAGGAGCACCGGCUAACUCCGUGCCAGCCGCCGCGGUAAUUC
rnacentral:rRNA from 1 species